CACUCCUGCGGGAGGCAGCAGUGGGGAAUUUUGGACAAUGGGGGCAACCCUGAUCCAGCAAUGCCGCGUGAGUGAAGAAGGCCUUCGGGUUGUAAAGCUCUUUUGUCAGGGAAGAAACGGUGGUGGCGAAUAACUACUACUAAUGACGGUACCUGAAGAAUAAGCACCGGCUAACUACGUGCCAGCAGCCGCGGUAAUACGUAGGGUGCAAGCGUUAAUCGGAAUUACUGGGCGUAAAGCGUGCGCAGGCGGUUGUGUAAGUCAGAUGUGAAAUCCCCGGGCUCAACCUGGGAAUUGCAUUUGAGACUGCACGGCUAGAGUGUGUCAGAGGGGGGUAGAAUUCCACGUGUAGCGGUGAAAUGCGUAGAUAUGUGGAGGAAUACCGAUGGCGAAGGCAGCCCCCUGGGAUAACACUGACGCUCAUGCACGAAAGCGUGGGGAGCAAACAGGAUUAGAAACCCUAGUAGUCCCAUGA
rnacentral:rRNA from 1 species